GCCAGUGUGGUGCAGUGAUUUGCUCACUGGACUAUAAUUCUGGAGACCAGGGUUCAAACCCCCACUUGGCCA